CCCGCAUGAGAGAUAACGGCCUACGAGUUGUAAACCUCUUUAAGUACCGACGAAGCGAAAAGUGACGGUAGGUACAGAAGAAGAACUCGGCCAACUACGUGCCAGCAGCCGCGGUAAUACGUAGGGUCCGAGCGUUGUCCGGAAUUAUUGCGCGUAAAGGGCUCGUAGGCGGUUUGUCGCGUCGGGAGUGAAAACAGCGGGCUUAACUCGUUGCUUGCUUCGAUACGGGCAGACUAGAGGUAUGCAGGGGAGAAUGGAAUACCUGGUGUAGCGGUGAAUAUGCGCCGAUAUCAGGAGGGAACACCGGUGGCGAAGGCGGUUUCUCUGGGCAUUACCCUGACGCUGAGGAGCCGAAAAGUGUGGGGAAGCGAACAGGGAUUAAGAUACCCCUGGUAAGUCCAC
rnacentral:rRNA from 1 species